rnacentral:rRNA from 1 species
CGUCGCCGCGGUAAUACGAAGGGGGCUAGCGUUGCUCGGAAUGACUGGGCGUAAAGGGCGCGUAGGCGGAUUGUUUAGUUAGGCGUGAAAUUCCUGGGCUUAACCUGGGGACUGCGCUUAAUACAGGCAGUCUAGAGUGAGGAAGAGGGUUGUGGAAUUCCCAGUGUAGAGGUGAAAUUCGUAGAUAUUGGGAAGAACACCGGUGGCGAAGGCGGCAACCUGGUCCUUGACUGACGCUGAGGCGCGAAAGCGUGGGGAGCAAACAGGAUUAGAUACCCCCGUAGUCCCUGUCUCUUAUACA